GACGAACGCUGGCGGCGUGCCUAAUACAUGCAAGUAGAACGCACAGUUUAUACCGUAGCUUGCUACACCAUAAACUGUGAGUUGCGAACGGGUGAGUAACGCGUAGGUAACCUGCCUGGUAGCGGGGGAUAACUAUUGGAAACGAUAGCUAAUACCGCAUAAUAUUAAUUAUUGCAUGAUAAUUGAUUGAAAGGUGCAAUUGCAUCACUACCAGAUGGACCUGCGUUGUAUUAGCUAGUAGGUGAGGUAACGGCUCACCUAGGCGACGAUACAUAGCCGACCUGAGAGGGUGAUCGGCCACACUGGGAAUGGGACACGGCCCAGACUCCUACGGGAGGCAGCAGUAGGGAAUCUUCGGCAAUGGACGAAAGUCUGACCGAGCAACGCCGCGUGAGUGAAGAAGGUUUUCGGAUCGUAAAGCUCGGUUGUAAGAGGAGAACGGGUGUGAGAGUGGAAAGUUCACACUGUGACGGUAUCUUACCAGAAAGGGACGGCUAACUACGUG
rnacentral:rRNA from 1 species